rnacentral:rRNA from 1 species
GCUAUGUUGGCCGGGCGACGGUUGUCCCGGUUUAAGCGUGUAGGCUGGUUUUCCAGGCAAAUCCGGAAAACCAAGGCUGAGGCGUGAUGACGAGGCACUACGGUGCUGAAGUGACAAAUGCCCUGCUUCCAGGAAAAGCCUCUAAGCAUCAGGUAACAUCAAAUCGUACCCCAAACCGACACAGGUGGUCAGGUAGAGAAUACCAAGGCGCUUGAGAGAACUCGGGUGAAGGAACUAGGCAAAAUGGUGCCGUAACUUCGGGAGAAGGCACGCUGAUAUGUAGGUGAAGCGACUUGCUCGUGGAGCUGAAAUCAGUCGAAGAUACCAGCUGGCUGCAACUGUUUAUUAAAAACACAGCACUGUGCAAACACGAAAGUGGACGUAUACGGUGUGACGCCUGCCCGGUGCCGGAAGGUUAAUUGAUGGGGUUAGCGGUAACGCGAAGCUCUUGAUCGAAGCCCCGGUAAACGGCGGCCGUAACUAUAACGGUCCUAAGGUAGCGAAAUUCCUUGUCGGGUAAGUUCCGACCUGCACGAAUGGCGUAAUGAUGGCCAGGCUGUCUCCACCCGAGACUCAGUGAAAUUGAACUCGCUGUGAAGAUGCAGUGUACCCGCGGCAAGACGGAAAGACCCCGUGAACCUUUACUAUAGCUUGACACUGAACAUUGAGCCUUGAUGUGUAGGAUAGGUGGGAGGCUUUGAAGUGUGGACGCCAGUCUGCAUGGAGCCGACCUUGAAAUACCACCCUUUAAUGUUUGAUGUUCUAACGUUGGCCCGUAAUCCGGGUUGCGGACAGUGUCUGGUGGGUAGUUUGACUGGGGCGGUCUCCUCCUAAAGAGUAACGGAGGAGCACGAAGGUUGGCUAAUCCUGGUCGGACAUCAGGAGGUUAGUGCAAUGGCAUAAGCCAGCUUGACUGCGAGCGUGACGGCGCGAGCAGGUGCGAAAGCAGGUCAUAGUGAUCCGGUGGUUCUGAAUGGAAGGGCCAUCGCUCAACGGAUAAAAGGUACUCCGGGGAUAACAGGCUGAUACCGCCCAAGAGUUCAUAUCGACGGCGGUGUUUGGCACCUCGAUGUCGGCUCAUCACAUCCUGGGGCUGAAGUAGGUCCCAAGGGUAUGGCUGUUCGCCAUUUAAAGUGGUACGCGAGCUGGGUUUAGAACGUCGUGAGACAGUUCGGUCCCUAUCUGCCGUGGGCGCUGGAGAACUGAGGGGGGCUGCUCCUAGUACGAGAGGACCGGAGUGGACGCAUCACUGGUGUUCGGGUUGUCAUGCCAAUGGCACUGCCCGGUAGCUAAAUGCGGAAGAGAUAAGUGCUGAAAGCAUCUAAGCACGAAACUUGCCCCGAGAUGAGUUCUCCCUGACUCCUUGAGGGUCCUGAAGGAACGUUGAAGACGACGACGUUGAUAGGCCGGGUGUGUAAGCGCAGCGAUGCGUUGAGCUAACCGGUACUAAUGAACCGUGAGGCUUAACCUU